rnacentral:rRNA from 1 species
UACAGAGGGUGCAAGCGUUGUUCGGAAUUAUUGGGCGUAAAGGGCGCGUAGGCGGUGCCACAAGUCACCUGUGAAAUCUCCGGGCUUAACUCGGAGCCUGCAGGCGAAACUGUGGUGCUGGAGUGUGGGAGAGGUGCGUGGAAUUCCCGGUGUAGCGGUGAAAUGCGUAGAUACUGGGAGGAACACCAGUGGCGAAGGCGGCUACCUGGACCGGUUCUGACGCUGAUGCGCGAAAGCGUGGGGAGCAAACAGG